GACGGUGUCAACGAGUCAGGCCUUCUGCGCCGAGAGGGUUGGGUAAACUGGUCAAUCACCGUCGUGACAGGGAUCGGGGCUUGCAAUUAUUCCCCGUGAACGAGGAAUUCCUAGUAAGUGCAAGUCAUAAGCUUGCGCUGAUUACGUCCCUGCCCUUUGUACACACCGCCCGUCGCUACUACCGAUUGAAUGGUUUAGUAAGGUCCUCGGAUUGGCGCCAUUGUGGUAUCGCUGAGAGGCGCUUACCCGACAGGUGCUGAGAAGACGACCGAAC
rnacentral:rRNA from 1 species